CCUACGGGUGGCUGCAGUGGGGAAUAUUGGACAAUGGGGGCAACCCUGAUCCAGCCAUGCCGCGUGUGUGAAGAAGGCCCUCGGGUUGUAAAGCACUUUCAGUGAGGAAGAACGCCUGGUGGUUAAUACCCAUCAGGAAAGACAUCACUCACAGAAGAAGCACCGGCUAACUCCGUGCCAGCAGCCGCGGUAAUACGGAGGGUGCGAGCGUUAAUCGGAAUUACUGGGCGUAAAGCGCGCGUAGGUGGCUUGAUAAGCCGGUUGUGAAAGCCCCGGGCUCAACCUGGGAACGGCAUCCGGAACUGUCAAGCUAGAGUGCAGGAGAGGAAGGUAGAAUUCCCGGUGUAGCGGUGAAAUGCGUAGAGAUCGGGAGGAAUACCAGUGGCGAAGGCGGCCUUCUGGACUGACACUGACACUGAGGUGCGAAAGCGUGGGUAGCAAACCGGAUUAGAUACCCGGGUAGUC
rnacentral:rRNA from 1 species